rnacentral:tRNA from 2 species
CCCUGGUUAGCUCAGUUGGGUAGAGCGCUCCACCUAUAAUGGAGAGGUCCCGGGUUCGAUACCUGGACCAGGCG